AUGCUGUCUGGUCUGCUACUAAUACUGCCUUACUGCCUGCUGUCUGGUCUGCUACUAAUACUGCCUUACUGCCUGCUGUCUGAUCUGCUACUAAUACUGCCUUACUGCCUGCUGUCUAAUCUGCUACUAAUACUGCCUUACUGCCUGCUGUCUGGUCUGCUACUAAUACUGCCUUACUGCCUGCUGUCUGAUCUGCUACUAAUACUGCCUUACUGCCUGCUGUCUGGCCUGCUACUAAUACUGCCUUACUGCCUGCUGUCUGAUCUGCUACUAAUACUGCCUUACUGCCUGCUGUCUGAUCUGCUACUAAUACUGCCUUACUGCCUGCUGUCUGUUCUGCUACUAAUACUGCCUUACUGCCUGCUGUCUGUUCUGCUACUAAUACUGCCUUACUGCCUGCUGUCUGUUCUGCUACUAAUACUGCCUUACUGCCUGCUGUCUGAUCUGCUACUAAUACUGCCUUACUGCCUGCUGUCUGAUCUGCUACUAAUACUGCCUUACUGCCUGCUGUCUGUUCUGCUACUAAUACUGCCUUACUGCCUGCUGUCUGAUCUGCUACUAAUACUGCCUUACUGCCUGCUGUCUGGUCUGCUACGAAUACUGCCUUACUGCCUGCUGUCUGAUCUGCUACUAAUACUGCCUUACUGCCUGCUCUCUGAUCUGCUACUAAUACUGCCUUACUGCCUGCUGUCUGUUCUGCUACUAAUACUGCCUUACUGCCUGCUGUCUGUUCUGCUACUAAUACUGCCUUACUGCCUGCUGUCUGAUCUGCUACUAAUACUGCCUUACUGCCUGCUGUCUGAUCUGCUACUAAUACUGCCUUACUGCCUGCUGUCUGUUCUGCUACGAAUACUGCCUUACUGCCUGCUGUCUGAUCUGCUACUAAUACUGCCUUACUGCCUGCUGUCUGUUCUACUACUAAUACUGCCUUACUGCUUGCUGUCUGAUCUGCUACUAAUACUGCCUUACUGCCUGCUGUCUGAUCUGCUACUAAUACUGCCUUACUGCCUGCUGUCUGAUCUGCUACUAAUACUGCCUUACUGCCUGCUGUCUGUUCUGCUACUAAUACUGCCUUACUGCCUGCUGUCUGUUCUGCUACUAAUACUGCCUUACUGCCUGCUGUCUGAUCUGCUACUAAUACUGCCUUGCUGCCUGCUGUCUGAUCUGCUACUAAUACUGCCUUACUGCCUGCUGUCUGAUCUGCUACUAAUACUGCCUUACUGCCUGCUGUCUGUUCUGCUACUAAUACUGCCUUACUGCCUGCUGUCUGUUCUGCUACUAAUACUGCCUUACUGCCUGCUGUCUGGUCUGCUACUAAUACUGCCUUACUGCCUGCUGUCUGUUCUGCUACUAAUACUGCCUUACUGCCUGCUGUCUGAUCUGCUACUAAUACUGCCUUACUGCCUGCUGUCUGUUCUGCUACUAAUACUGCCUUACUGCCUGCUGUCUGUUCUGCUACUAAUACUGCCUUACUGCCUGCUGUCUGUUCUGCUACUAAUACUGCCUUACUGCCUGCUGUCUGAUCUGCUACUAAUACUGUCUUACUGCCUGCUGUCUGUUUUGCUACUAAUACUGCCUUACUGCCUGCUGUCUGUUCUGCUACUAAUACUGCCUUACUGCCUGCUGUCUGGUCUGCUACUAAUACUGUCUUACUGCCUGCUGUCUGUUUUGCUACUAAUCCACUGGCAUCCACUUUCUUUCCUUCCUGUUAUCCUGGCACCACGGAUCCCUGUUUCACUUAAGUCAAGCUCACGUUUUGGACUAGCUAAGGAGCAAAGAAGAUUGACGUUUUUUUUCUCUCAUUCUUUCUCUGUUUGUUUUUGUUUAUUCUGUCUCUUUCGCUCUCUCUGUCUCUGUGUGUGUCUGACAGAGAGAAAAAUAGGCAGGCUACAAAGGAAGAGAGAGUAA
ensembl:lncRNA